UACGGAGGGUGCGAGCGUUGUCCGGAUUUAUUGGGUUUAAAGGGUGCGUAGGUGGCUUUUUAAGUCAGUGGUGAAAUACAGCCGCUCAACGGUUGAGGUGCCAUUGAUACUGAAAAGCUUGAAACAAGUGGAGGCUGCCGGAAUGGAUGGUGUAGCGGUGAAAUGCAUAGAUAUCAUCCAGAACACCGAUUGCGAAGGCAGGUGGCUACGUUUGAUUUGACACUGAGGCACGAAAGCAUGGGGAGCAAACAGG
rnacentral:rRNA from 1 species